rnacentral:rRNA from 1 species
UACGUAGGGAGCGAGCGUUGUCCGAAGUUACUGGGCGUAAAGCGCGCGUAGGCGGGUUUGCAAGUCGGAGGUGAAAUGCUGGGGCUCAACUCCAUGCAGUGCCUCCGAUACUUCAAGUCUUGAGUGCGGUAGGGAGAAGUGGAAUGGCUGGUGUAGCGGUGAAAUGCGUAGAUAUCAGUCGGAACACCGGUGGCGAAGGCGGCUUCUUGGGCCGUUACUGACGCUGAGGCGCGAAAGCCAGGGGAGCGAACGGG